UGGUCAUCUUCACUCCCUCUGUUACACUGCUAGGAUUUUGAUGGGGAUAUAUUGAAUCUGUAGAUAGUGUCAGGUAGAAUUCAUAUUGUGCCUUGGGGGGUUUAUUGCAUUUUAGAAUGUAUUUUGUAUGUGUGUGGGCUGUGCACUUGUCAGGGCACACAUGUGGGGUCAUUGAGAACCAGCUCUUACCUUCCCGUCAUGUGACUCCAGGGGUGCAGCUCAGGCUGUCAGGCUCAGCAACAGGGCUCUUACCCACCGAGCUGUCUUUCUGGCCUGUUCUGGUUUUUAUUAAAGUGAUAUUUUAUGUUUGUUUGUUUGGUGGGAGUGGGAAAUGUGUACACGCUUGCAUGUAUGCCGCAGUACAUAUGCAGGUUGGUGGACAACUUGGAGCCAGUUUUUUCCUUCCACCAAAUGGAUUCUUGAUGUUGAACUCAGGUUGUCAAGUGACCAGUCUUAACAACAGGUAUAUGGUUAUAGUUUUAAAACUUUUAUAAUACAUGCAUUUGCCUUGCUGUUAAAAUAAAUAUUGUUAGAGAAAUGCCCAGCCUAAAUUAGCUUUUUUACUUAAAGCAAUUUUAGUUUGUUUGUCUGUCAUAAAAUCCAACAGAAAGAAGGUAUAAAUAUGAUCUCAUGAUUCAGUAUUGCUACUUUAAACCUUCUUUUCAUAGAAAUCAAAAACAAAACUUGCUCGCCUUGCCAUAGACUCAUUUUCCCUCAUGUUAGUUUUAUUGUAUUCCCUCAUGUAGCCAGACAUGUUAGUUUUAUUGUAAUAUCUCUUUCUUUCUAGCAGGUUAAAUGUUUAAACUUAAUCAUAGAAGCCAGUUGUCUUACAACAGUUCUUCUUAAUAAAAAAUCACUUUCUGUAUUGGUAUUUUUUCUCCUGAAUUUAAUAAAUUCCACAUUAGUGGUAAUAAGUUGAGGCCUAGAACAUGUCCUAUUACAAAUGAACAAUCGGAUUUCAUUAGGUUGUCCCCCCUGUCCUUUGUACAUAUAUCUUCAGGUGUGUUAAUCCAUUCAGUAGACACAUUAAUGAGCACCGGUUGCAGUGUAAUAUUGGAGAAAGUAAAGCUCGUUGACCUCAACAUGGAGUUUAAUACCUCUAAUUAAAUUAGAUAGUCGGCAGUCAGUAUAAAGAAAUAGCCAUGCCUCUGGCAAGCUAGAAUUAUUUAUGAUCCUGGUUCUAUGUUUUAAACUUGGUAGGGGAAAAGUCAUUUAUAUAUAUUUUAUAAAAACUAAAACAUUCUGGCUUUUUAUUUUAAAUAUAUGGUGGUUUUUAAAAUUAUUUUCAUUUUAUUUUCUCAGAAUGAGAAGUUAAUGUUUCUGGGUCUAUUUAAGUAUAGCAUUGUUUUAUGAAGUGAAAGUUUCUCAAAGCUCCAGAUAAUAGCAGCAGAAUUUUUGUAACAUGGACUAUAUAUUUUGAACAAAUUAGCCAUUCAUUCUAGUAAAGUCUCUCUUAGAAAUAUUAUGCCAUUGUAUCAAAAAUCAUGAUAUAACCCUGUCGAAGCCUUCUAUUCUAUAAAUUAUUUCUCCCUGAGAAAGAUUGAUGGAAAAUGGUUAAAAAUAAUUUCCACUUAACUGACUGUAUUCACCCCUAAAAAUCAAAAGUGCUGCAAGCGUUGGUGUAAAGUGCUGAGAGCAGCCUCUCUCAUCUUCUCCGUCUCCUUGUUGCGGCCACUUGCGGAUACUCUGCUUCCAAGGCAGCUGAAUCAUCCUUUUAGGAGUUUGAUGAAGAUCAAGUUGAGAUAAUUGUAAAAUGCUUAGUUGGACUCUCUAGGCUAUCUUUCAUUUCCUGAGCCCCCAAAAGAGGAAGAAGAAGUACUCUGCUGUCUAAGUCCUUUUCCUCUGAAAUAGUGUUAGUGUAAGACAGCAGGCCAUGUCUUAAAACUUGAUCACAAUCGUUUCUGAAAUAAAUGGGUUGUAAAGACUCUACUUGGUCCAAUUUUUACAUCAAAUCUAUUUUUAUCUUAAUUUUGAAACAAAAUAAGCAUGUGAGAGACUUCCCAAAGAACUAUAAGCUAAAUAUAAUCUGAAAAUUAAUUUUAAAACUAUAUGGGAUAAUAACAAAAAGGUUUUAUUAUUUUAUUAAAGUGGGUUUUAUAAUAUAAUUAAUUAAUGGAUUCUAUGGAAUUGUCAUAGUUUGCUUUCUGUCACUGUCCAUUAUUAAAAGCAAUAUGGAGGGUAGGGUUUAUUUGGCUUAUAUGACCCAAUUACAGCCCAUCAUUGAGAGAAGCCAGGCCAAGAACUCGAGCAGAAGCAGAGACAGGAACCAUGUUGGAAUUCUACUUAGUGACUUGCUCCUCAUGGCUUCCUUGGCUUGCUUUUACACACACACACAUACACACACACAACCCAAGACCAGCCUGCCCAAGGGUGACAGUAUCCAUAGUGGGCUGGGCUCUCCCAUAUCAGUUAUUACUCAAGACAGUGCCCUACAGGCAGUCAGAUGGCCACAUUUUCUCAGCUGCUGUUCCUUCUUUCAGAUGACCCAAGUUUAUGUCACGUUGUCAAAAACUAACAAACACAGAAAUUCUACUUGUAGUUUCAGAUCAAAAUAUAAUAACUAAUGUUACAAAUUCUAUUUAAUGUCAUAUUCUACCCACACCCCCAACUUUUUAAAGUGUAUUCCUGGUGGCAAAGAUAGAGGAUGGAAAUACUGUCAGUGGUUGCAUGCCAGCUUGUCUCACCACCAUGCACAAGUUAAUGUGGACAGGAUAGCUGUAGCUUCUCUUUGUACACAGAGUAAGACGUAACCCCAGUGUUCCUGUGUGCUUUGCCUCCCUUUCUACUUAUCCUAGAUCACUGCCGCUGUCAUUUCUUACUGACUUACUAACCUGCCUCCACUAUCUUUUUUUUUUUUUUUCCAAAAAAUAACCAGGUUUCAUUGAGGCUAGGAAUAUAAUCCAGUAGUAGAAUGGUUGACUUACUUAUACAAGAUUCUUUCAUCAAUCCUUGACUCU
rnacentral:lncRNA from 1 species